rnacentral:lncRNA from 1 species
GGAAAAUUGAUUUCCAGAAGAUAAGUCAGGAGAAAAGAUCCUGAGAAGAUUUCGGAGGAAAUGAACUUUUUUGUUUGUUUGUUUUCACAAAUGAAGACACGUUGUGAAUUCCGGGCAGGAUAUUGUUUUCUGCCAGAUAAUUUUUGGAAGAGGCAGGGAUGCUAAGCCAGAGUUUCUCUCGGAAAGAUAACAGGCCCUGGAGGAUCUCUGCUGGUGGAGUCUUUGGCUCUUCAUAAUAUCAAGAAAGACUGCCUGUCUCCAGUGCCCACCAAUCGCUGCUGAUGCCACCAAGCCAUCACCACCACUGCCACACUCUGUUGCUGCCCACGUUCCCAACACUAAUGCUGCUGACACACUGAGAUCCCGAAGCCCAGUGAAGCAAUUAGGAAGAACAAAAUGGAAAACAAACUUUGUUUACCUAUUCAUAUUGCAUGUCCAUGGGGCCGGGGCUAAACAACCAUCAGAGUCACUGGCCACAGGUAUACUCAGGACCCCCAGCCCUCCUCAGCACCAACCCACCACUCUUGAACCGGGUUGUCUGUGACUCCUCUGUCUUUCCUUAGGAUGUGAUCUUUCUCAGGAGAAACUUUCUCAUUCCUCCUUGUAAAAACUAGCUCCAGACACAUGAGACCAAAUAUAGUCAAUUAGGUCCCACCUGGGAUACCUGUUGUAUAUAUCUGUAUGUGAAAAAUGUGGUCCAGGAAGUUUAUGGGUUCAUUCAAUGCUCGCCGAGAUGCAACCAGAGCUUGGGUAUCCUGACUCCUAAUUCAGAGAAGUGUUCUCUUCAUCCAUGGAGCCAUUCAAUAACUAGGUACUGAGGGCUGGUUUUGUGCCAGCCACUAUAAGAGGUGAUGAAUAUGACACAGGCUUGGCCUUUAGAGCUUCCACCGUAAUGGUGUGGUGAGUCCAUUCCUAAUGGUGUGAUAAAUCUGUGGUAGGGACCUUUCACUCAAGGUCCAGCGAAAUUCAUAGGACGGGCUCCUAACCUAGGAAGGACUCCUGAGAUGAGAUGGACUUUAAGGUGAGCCUAAAGGACAAGAAGUUACCAGGCUAAGAAAGAAGGCUGAAUUGUAGGCAGUGGGCUGGGUUGGGUGGUGGGAUUGGGGAGGAUAGAUAUUGUUGACCACGAGUUAGAAGGCAACUGAAGUCCAAACUUUCACUCUUGUAAGCUUAUAUUUCCCCUUUAGAAUUUAAAAGAAUAUCCAUUUUCUUUUUCUCGGUAAUAACACGGAACUUUAUUUUAUUUUUUAUAAUAAUCUUUAUUAUGUUAUGCUAGUCACCAUACCGUUCAUCCUUAGUUUUUGAUGUAGUGUUCCAUGAUUCGUCAUUUGCAUAGACCACCCAGUGCUCCAUGCAAUAUGUAACACAGAACUUCACAAACAGCAAGUCUAUAACAUAGAGGUUUUGUUGUGAAUAUAUUAGAAUGAGGAAAAGAGGACGGGAGUCUAGUUCAUGAGAAGGUAGGGUUGGAAGCAUGACUGUGACUUCAAAUAAGUUAGAGAAAACCAAUGUAAAAUGAUCCAGUCUUUGUGGGAAAUUUGUGU